GAUGAACGCUAGCUACAGGCUUAACACAUGCAAGUCGAGGGGAAACGAUGAGAGAGCUUGCUCUCUUAGUCGUCGACCGGCGCACGGGUGAGUAACGCGUAUCCAACCUGCCUCUGACCAAGGGAUAACCCGUCGAAAGUCGGACUAAUACCUUAUGCAGUCGUCGGAAGUCAUCUGAUGACGACGAAAGAUUUCAUCGGUGAGAGAUGGGGAUGCGUCUGAUUAGCUUGUUGGCGGGGUAACGGCCCACCAAGGCGACGAUCAGUAGGGGUUCUGAGAGGAAGGUCCCCCACAUUGGAACUGAGACACGGUCCCAACUCCUACGGGAGGCAGCAGUGAGGAAUAUUGGUCAAUGGGCGUAAGCCUGAACCAGCCAAGUAGCGUGCAGGAUGACGGCCCUAUGGGUUGUAAACUGCUUUUAUGCGGGGAUAAAGUGAGGGACGUGUCCUUCAUUGCAGGUACCGCAUGAAUAAGGACCGGCUAAUUCCGUG
rnacentral:rRNA from 1 species